rnacentral:rRNA from 1 species
UACGUAGGUGGCAAGCGUUGUCCGGAUUUACUGGGCGUAAAGAGCGCGCAGGCGGUCGUUCAAGUCGCGUGUGAAAGCCCCCCGGCUCAACUGGGGAGGGUCACGCGAUACUGAUCGACUCGAAGGCAGGAGAGGGUAGUGGAAUUCCCGGUGUAGUGGUGAAAUGCGUAGAUAUCGGGAGGAACACCAGUGGCGAAGGCGACUACCUGGCCUGUUCUUGACGCUGAGGCGCGAAAGCUAGGGGAGCAAACAGGG